UACAGAGGGGGCAAGCGUUGUUCGGAAUUACUGGGCGUAAAGGGCUCGUAGGUGGCCAACUAAGUCAGACGUGAAAUCCCUCGGCUUAACCGGGGAACUGCGUCUGAUACUGGAUGGCUUGAGUUUGGGAGAGGGAUGCGGAAUUCCAGGUGUAGCGGUGAAAUGCGUAGAUAUCUGGAGGAACACCGGUGGCGAAGGCGGCAUCCUGGACCAACACUGACGCUCAUGCACGAAAGCGUGGGGAGCAAACAGG
rnacentral:rRNA from 1 species